UGAUGCCCUAAUAUUUUCAACCUAAUGAGCAGCCACGCCUCUUCUUGUCUUCUUCCUCUUUUCCAAUUCUACAUAAAAAUCCGAACCUUCCUAGUCGAAUUCAGUCUUGGUUCGCCCAUUUCGGGCAAGUAAUUAACGUUACCUCUGUCUUCUUCUUCGUAAGUCUCUUUCUCUCUUUUGAUUUUCAUUUUUCGGGGAUUCAAGUACAAGAUUUUGAAUUUCAAUUCCGGAUCCCAAACGAAAUUCAAAAGGAUUUCAAAUCCAAAAUUUGUAGUCCCACAUCGUUUUUAAAAUAGGAACUUAGCAUUUGGGGUUCUAUAUAUAGAACCCUAUUCUUCAUUCUCGGAGGGGGUAACUGGACUGGAUACAGAUCCUUGCUCUCUAUUUUCUUUAUAGUUUCUCACUCGAUUUAUCCCACAAGAAAUACGAAAACUUUAGUUCGCUAGAACCCUCGACACUUUCAUUCGAACUUAUUUGGCUUAAGGUUCGGAUCUGUUCAUAAUGGGAGAGUAGAUUCGAGGCCGACGACUCUCGUUCACUGCACCCACAAGAGGUUAUUGUUUGACUGAUAUGGAAGUCAUGUUCUUAUUGAAGUGCAACUAUAAAUAUUUGUACUAGAAUUCCUAUUUCAGGUAUUCCUUUAACCAUAGUAAGAUUUGUUGAAAAUCACGACAGUUUAAUGUAGUCCGGAAGUCAGUCUUUAUGCAUUACUUGAGACACUAAAAUCUUUACCAUUUGACAUAGAGUGUUUAUGUUAUCUAUUUCCAUGAGUUGAAUAGUUUAUCCAAACAUCUUAUAUGUGAUUUUCGAUCAAUCUUCAAAAAAUCAUGAUUUAAAAUUCAAUAUUUGUCAUAUUAGAUCAUACUCUAGGUCAUGGAUACUUUGCUUGAUUUCGGUAUGGUCAAGAGCGCAAAUCAUAUGCUUGAAUAAGGCUUGAGAUACCAUGAAUAUAGGUUUCCUUGGCUAUUUUGCCACAUUUUAGAAAUUAUCUCGCUUUGACGAUGCUACUCGCUUCUUUGUCCAAAACAGUGAGUUAGACUUUCUUUCCUAUUUUUUAAGUAUAUGUGUGAAGUUCUGUUUGUGGUUUCCAUAAUUUUAACCAGUAUUAAAGCAAUGAAUCCAUGCGUGUAUUGUCUUCUGCAUAAUACUAAGAAUGCGUGUUUUUCAUUUUCUUUCUUUACAGACACUUUAAAAAGAGUACCUUUUAGGUCUUAUAGUUUGUUAAAACUUAAUUCUGAACAUGUUUAAAUGUAAACGAGAGUCCAGAUUAUUUUAAAAACAAAGUAUAUGAUGUUAGUAUAUAAACCAGGCUGCUGGACUGUUGGUUGUGGCUGAAUGUUACCAUAUCUCGUGGAUUGUUAUGAUUCUCAUGGCUGACCCUGUAAUCGUUUCUUCAGGCCAUACAUUUGAAUGCCAUUGUGUUCAUGCCUGUAAAUCACUAUCUUUUACACCAGGAAUCAUAAAAAAAAAAUUGAUGCUUUGCUACACUUAUUUGUUUUGAGCCUUAGCCCUAUAUAAAGGAGAACCAUGAAUAUGCAUUUGUAGUUUAGUGACAUAACACUCAAGGACCCUUUCUUGUUUAUAUGUAAAAUCUUGAUAUAGGAUUCACUAAUGUUAUUAGGAUCUAUAUUUCUAUUCCAGAAGACGUGAAAGCGCAAUAGUAAAUUCCUUAUUCGAAUUUAUCGAUUCAUACGAAUCUAUAAUAUAUGCUCUUAUAUUUAGCACACUUUUUACAUAUUUAGAAUUCAUGUUAUACGACUGUUCGAUUUCCUUCCUGUUACCUUCAUUAGAUGUAGUGUUUUGAGGUUACUUUAUGAUUAUAUCCUGUUCAACUUGGAUGUAAUUUUCCAUGAAUCAAAAAUAUUCUUUCUUUGUAACCUUCAUGCUGAAUUUAAAUAGUAGUACGAGAGUCCUGUUUUAUGACUUAGGAAUCAUAGUAAUAUUUUUUAGCUGUUAAGAAGAAUUAUGAAAUAUACCUUUUUUUAUUUGGAGAUCAUGCUUAUAGGAUGAUAUUAAUCUUUACUUUGAAUGGAUGUCAUAAUAUGCUCUACUCCAGUGCUAUAAAUAUCUUGAUUUUUAUUUAUUUAUUGUGUUACCAAGAAUCAUAUUUCCCCUCUAACUAUUUCUCCCGUUUCUUCUUUAUUUGACAUGUACACCGGAGCUGAAGAGUUUCACUUCGAAACUCAACGACACCGCUACCGCAUGGAGUAUCCGCACAUCCUCAUUCUUUCUCGUCUCCCAAACGUCGAGUUACAAAGGCGAUUUCUGCCCUUCUGUUGAAGCCUAACAUGGCCAUUGAUCAUAUCACUUAUUUUCGCUUCUUUUGCUUACCUGUGUUGGUGAAUGAUUGUUAUUUUCAAUUAUGUGUUCAUUGUUGAAGGUAGAAUCGUUAUAUAAUUGAUUAGUGACUAAGCCGUCAUUAGCUA